rnacentral:rRNA from 1 species
GGGGAAUAUUGCGCAAUGGGGGAAACCCUGACGCAGCAACGCCGCGUGAGUGAAGAAGGUCUUCGGAUCGUAAAACUCUGUCAUCGGGGACGAAGAAGUGACGGUACCCGAGGAGGAAGCCCCGGCUAACUACGUGCCAGCAGCCGCGGUAAUACGUAGGGGGCGAGCGUUGUCCGGAAUUACUGGGCGUAAAGGGUGCGUAGGCGGUCUGUUAAGUCAGAUGUGAAAUACCUCGGCUCAACUGAGGGGUUGCAUUUGAAACUGGUAGGCUAGAGUACAGGAGAGGGAAGUGGAAUUCCUAGUGUAGCGGUGAAAUGCGUAGAGAUUAGGAAGAACACCAGUGGCGAAGGCGGCUUCCUGGCCUGUAACUGACGCUGAGGCACGAAAGCGUGGGUAGCGAAC